rnacentral:miRNA from 12 species
UGCUGAGGAAGGUGCUGGUUGC